UCUCAUAAAUGAAAUGUUAUUUGAUGGGCCUAAAAUGGUGGACCAGGCCCAGUAAAAACCAUUAACCAAGAAAGCCAGCUAAACCCAACAACGGCUGCUCCUUUCUUCUCCACUGAACUAUUUUCCGCUUACGCCUCCGUCGUGCCUCCGUCAACGGCGUGGCGAUGGACUCAGACCCCGCAACCUCCGAUCCCGAGACCCAGCCGUUCUCGAAGCAAAUCGACGACCAGUGCCACGACAUGAGUUCCCUCGAAGACCUCGCGAACCGCGGCGCGUGGCGCUCCAUCAUCGACAAAGUCUCACGCGCGCGAGCACUCUCUCUCCUCCACAAGCCCCACGACCACCUCACCUACCUCGCCUUCAACGCCCUCGCUUUCACCAAACUGCGUCGUUUCAACGAAGCCUCCGCAGAGCUCGAUUCCCUCGAAGACCUCCAAUCCUCCCACUACCGCUACGAAACCUACCCCAAAAUUUACCCUAAUCGGGUCGGAUCCAUGGUCCCCUUCUCCCUCCGGUGGCUCCACGCCCUAAUUCCGAUCAAACUAGGGCAACGUCAGCAAGGCAUGGACCGCUUCUACACCCUCCUCGAUUUCGUUCGCCAGAAAAUCAAGGAAAAGGAGAACAACGACGCCCUCAAUGUAUCCCUCUCUCUCUGGAGGAAAAGAGAGGUUUUUGUGGUGAAUUGCAUAAUUGGGCACCAUUUGAGUCAGAAGGAGUUCGGCGUGUGUUUGAGCUUGAUGAAGGAGCUUCUCUCUCGUUCCUCCGACCCUUUACUGGUUUCGCAGCUCGGGUACAUGCAGUUGCAGGUGGGGGACCUUGAGGGCGCGAAAGUUUCGUUUUUGAAGGUGGAGAGUGAGGGGAAGAGUAACGGGUCGUUGAGCGAGGUUGAGUUUAGGAACCUUGUGAAUAGGAACAAGGCGUUGGUGUAUUUGGUUGGGAAAGAUUACGUGUCUGCGGUGAGGGAGUUCGAGGAGUGCAUUGAGAGGGACAGUUCGGAUGUUGUGGCGGUGAACAACAAGGCUCUGUGUUUGAUGUAUCUGAGGGACCUUUCGGAUUCUAUUAAGGUGUUGGAGAGUGCGCUUGAGAGAGUUCCCACUCUGGCGCUCAAUGAGACGCUUGUUGUCAAUUUGUGUAGUAUGUAUGAGUUGGCGUAUGUUAAUCACUCUGAUAUUAAGAGGACGCUUAGUAGUUGGAUUGCUCGUGUUGCUCCUGAUGACUUUGAUGCAUCGUGUACUCGUACAUGAGACAAAAAUGGUGUUGGACUUCAUUUUGUGUUGAGAGGGUGUGGGGAGGAAGAAUUAGUGGAGAUGUGGUGUGCUUGUGGCUUUAGUGGGUGCGUAAAACACCUAGAAAUGAAACUCGCCAGCAUGAAGUAGGAAGAAUCACGGUAAUUGCUGAUCAAUCAUUAGCCUUCCAGGCCAUGUACACCGUUGGUGACCCUAUGGGAUAUCCAGUAUGAUGCCUGGAGAAGAGGUGCAAAUAUGGAUUCUUUAUGUCAUUAUCCUGCCGCAAAAAGGAAGAUCUCACUAUAUUAGUUGGCCUAUUCGUUUUGACUCUACUGCAAGAUUGCAAAUAUCACGUAUUGCUUUUAUUUCCUCAUAGGACCUCACUUCUGUUUAUUGAAUAUGAUUGGUUGAAAAUGAGAUAGAAAUGUAAUACCAAAUUUUUAUGAAACUGACCAUUCCAUUUACUGUAAGGACUGCUAAUUUUCGUGUGUUCUCGUUUGAAUGAACGUGUACUGUUUUAGGCUA